UACGUAGGGUGCAAGCGUUGUCCGGAAUUAUUGGGCGUAAAGGGCUCGUAGGCGGCCAACUAAGUCAGACGUGAAAUCCCUCAGCUUAACUGGGGAACUGCGUCUGAUACUGGAUGGCUUGGAUUUGGGAGAGGGAUGCGGAAUUCCAGGUGUAGCGGUGAAAUGCGUAGAUAUCUGGAGGAACACCGGUGGCGAAGGCGGCAUCCUGGACCAAUAUUGACGCUGAGGAGCGAAAGCUAGGGGAGCAAACGGG
rnacentral:rRNA from 1 species